AUGGGUCGCUUGGAAUCGUGACCUGGGCAGUAGCCUACAAGUUAGCUACAUCCCGUUCGACGUCUUCUUACUCUCCUGCAACCAGCCCCAGUACUCUUUCAUGAGAAAGAGACUGUCAUUAAUUUUUUUGCGUCAAAGGAAAUAAGAAAUGUCCCAACGUCAGAGCGGUACCGUCAAGUGGUUUAACGACGAGAAAGGUUUUGGUUUUAUCACUCCUGAAAGCGGUCCGGAUCUGUUCGUGCAUUUCCGCGCCAUCCAGGGCAACGGUUUCAAGAGCCUGAAAGAAGGCCAGAAAGUGACCUUCAUCGCUGUGCAGGGCCAGAAAGGCAUGCAGGCUGACGAAGUACAAGCAGAAGGUUAAUCUUCUGUAACGAAAAAGCCCCUGAUGCUGACAUCAGGGGCUUUUUU
rfam:Pseudomonas sp. GM78 PMI35_contig13.13, whole genome shotgun sequence.